rnacentral:lncRNA from 1 species
AUGAAUGCCAGAGGACUUGAAUUUCAGCUAAUGGGUGGUAUUCCAGUUAUCUUCUUCAGAAUGAUUUUUGUGUGUACGAAAAAUGGACUUUUGCCUAGUCAUACUGUUGAACUAUAGUAGACUUCAUAUACAGCUCAAACAAAAUAAAAUGCCUUUCUCCACAUUAAGAAACAUCCAGGGUCUAUUUGCCCCAGUAAAAUGACAAAUAGAAUUCAGGGCAGGGCCAUAAGUGCAGCAUCUUCCACUUCAUUCCAGUUCAAAUCUUUCACUGGAUGUUUGGAGGGGGCAUGCUGAGACUAGUGGAUUCAAAGAUAUUCUUAUUGAUCCAUCACAAAGUGAAGUAAUGAGAGAACCUCUCUUGAUGAUGGAAUAUAAAUUG